UGAAACCGUGUGCUUACAAGUAGUCAGAGCCCGUUAAUGGGUGAUGGCGUGCCUUUUGUAGAAUGAACCGGCGAGUUACGAUCUGAUGCAAGGUUAAGCAGAAAAUGUGGAGCCGUAGCGAAAGCGAGUCUGAAUAGGGCGAAUGAGUAUUUGGUCGUAGACCCGAAACCAGGUGAUCUACCCUUGGUCAGGUUGAAGUUCAGGUAACACUGAAUGGAGGACCGAACCGACUUACGUUGAAAAGUGAGCGGAUGAACUGAGGGUAGCGGAGAAAUUCCAAUCGAACUUGGAGAUAGCUGGUUCUCUCCGAAAUAGCUUUAGGGCUAGCCUCAAGUGAUGAUUAUUGGAGGUAGAGCACUGUUUGGACGAGGGGCCCCUCUCGGGUUACCGAAUUCAGACAAACUCCGAAUGCCAAAUAAUUUAACUUGGGAGUCAGAAUGUGGGUGAUAAGGUCCAUAUUCGAAAGGGAAACAGCCCAGACCACCAGCUAAGGUCCCAAAAUAUAUGUUAAGUGGAAAAGGAUGUGGCGUUGCCCAGACAACUAGGAUGUUGGCUUAGAAGCAGCCAUCAUUUAAAGAGUGCGUAAUAGCUCACUAGUCGAGUGACACUGCGCCGAAAAUGUACCGGGGCUAAACAUAUUACCGAAGCUGUGGAUUGUCCUUUGGACAAUGGUAGGAGAGCGUUCUAAGGGCGUUGAAGCAUGAUCGCAAGGACAUGUGGAGCGCUUAGAAGUGAGAAUGCCGGUGUGAGUAGCGAAAGACGGGUGAGAAUCCCGUCCACCGAUUGACUAAGGUUUCCAGAGGAAGGCUCGUCCGCUCUGGGUUAGUCGGGUCCUAAGCUGAGGCCGACAGGCGUAGGCGAUGGAUAACAGG
rnacentral:rRNA from 1 species